GACGAACCGUCCUAACGUUGUUCGGAAUCACUGGGCUUAAAGGGCGCGUAGGCGGUCAGCAAAGUCAGGGGUGAAAUCUUUCGGCUUAACCGGAAAAGUGCCUUUGAAACUAGCUGGCUCGAGUGAGAUAGGGGCAUGUGGAACUUCCGGUGGAGCGGUGAAAUGCGUUGAUAUCGGAAGGAACGCCGGUGGCGAAAGCGACAUGCUGGAUCUCUUCUGACGCUGAGGCGCGAAAGCUAGGGGAGCAAACGGG
rnacentral:rRNA from 1 species